AUUGAACGCUGGCGGCAUGCCUUACACAUGCAAGUCGAACGGAUUCAAGAGGCUUGCUUCUUGAGUUAGUGGCGAACGGGUGAGUAAAGCAUCGGAACGUACCCAGUUGUGGGGGAUAACGUAGCGAAAGUUACGCUAAUACCGCAUACGCACUGAGGUGGAAAGCGGGGGACCGAAAGGCCUCGCGCAAUUGGAGCGGCCGAUGUCGGAUUAGCUAGUUGGUGAGGUAAAGGCUCACCAAGGCGACGAUCCGUAGCUGGUCUGAGAGGACGACCAGCCACACUGGAACUGAGACACGGUCCAGACUCCUACGGGAGGCAGCAGUGGGGAAUUUUGGACAAUGGGCGAAAGCCUGAUCCAGCCAUGCCGCGUGAGUGAAGAAGGCCUUCGGGUUGUAAAGCUCUUUCAGACGGAAAGAAAUCUUUCGGGUGAAUAUCCCGGAAGGAUGACGGUACCGUAAGAAGAAGCACCGGCUAACUACGUGCCAGCAGCCGCCGUAA
rnacentral:rRNA from 1 species